GAAGAGAGCAGACAGUGCUGCCAGUGAGGACACCACGUGCUGUAACACGGGACUAAAAUUUUGAAAGGGACAGCAAGAGAUGAAUUAAAGCUUAUGCAGUAGUAGGCGUAUUGUAUCUCUUACUUCCUUUGGGCCAAGAAAGAAGAGAAAAGGAAAAGAAAAAGAAGGUAAGUUUAUUAGCUCUUAAAAUAUCUGGCAGCAGUA
rnacentral:lncRNA from 1 species